rnacentral:rRNA from 1 species
GAUGAACGCUGGCGGCAUGCCUUACACAUGCAAGUCGAACGGCAGCACGGGGCAACCUGGUGGCGAGUGGCGAACGGGUGAGUAAUACAUCGGAACGUACCUUUCAGUGGGGGAUAACGUAGCGAAAGUUACGCUAAUACCGCAUAUUCUGUGAGCAGGAAAGCAGGGGAUCGCAAGACCUUGCGCUGAUUGAGCGGCCGAUGUCAGAUUAGCUAGUUGGUGAGGUAAAGGCUCACCAAGGCGACGAUCUGUAGCGGGUCUGAGAGGAUGAUCCGCCACACUGGAACUGAGACACGGUCCAGACUCCUACGGGAGGCAGCAGUGGGGAAUUUUGGACAAUGGGGGCAACCCUGAUCCAGCCAUGCCGCGUGAGUGAAGAAGGCCUUCGGGUUGUAAAGCUCUUUCGGCCGGGAAGAAAUCGCACGGGCUAAUACCCUGUGUGGAUGACGGUACCGGAAUAAGAAGCACCGGCUAACUACGUGCCAGCAGCCGCCGUAAUAC